rnacentral:rRNA from 1 species
UGGGAUUAUAAAUGUAAGGUACUUUAAAGAACUUCACUGAAAUAAAAUCCUUGAGUAUUAAAAAAAAAAAAGAAGUGGAGCUUUGCGGCUUAAUUUGACUCAACAACGGGAAUUUACCAGGUCCAAACUUAUCGAGGUAAGACAAGAUUGAUAGCCUUUUCUCAAAUUUAAGGGUAGUGGUGCAUGCCGUUCUUAGUUCGUGGAAUGAUUUGUCUGGUUAAUUCCCGAUAACGAACGUGGACUCAAAACAUGCUAACUCGAACGCUGUCAGAAUGCGCCCUCCGGGCGCACUGACGUUACAGCGGGCGGCGCCUUCCACGGGCGGUUCGUCGCUACGUUUGCCCUGCUUAGCGGGACAAACUUGUGUUUAGCAAGCUGAGAAUGAGGCGGAUAAACAGGUCCGUGAUGCCCUUAGAAUGUUCUGGGCUGCACGCGUGCUACAAUGUGGGUGCAGCGUGUUCCUCGCCAAUAGGCGCCCCAUUCCGAAGAACGGGAAAUCACUAAAAUGCCCCAUCUAGUCGGGAUUGGGACUGCAACGGUCCCCAUGAACCUGGAAUUUCUAGUAAGCACUAGUCAUUAGCUAGUGCUGAUUAGUCCCUGCCCUUGUACAACACCGCCCGUCGCUACUACGGAUGGAUUAUUUGUGAGGUUUCUGGAGGCUUACCUUCCGCGGUUCCUUCGUGAGCUGCAGCUGGCAAUGGCUGAAGUUACGAACUUGAUGGAUUUAGAGGGAAGUAAAAAUUCGUACAAGGUUUCCGUAGGUGAACCUGCGGAAG